UCUCUGGUGGUCCAGUGGUUAGGACUCUGUGCUUUCACUGCAGAGGGCUGGGCUUCAAUCCCUGGUUGGGGAA
rnacentral:tRNA from 1 species